CUCUUUCACACAGGUGUCUUUACAUGUCUGUCUCUUAGUCACAUGUCUGUCUCUUUCACACAUGUGUCUUUACGUGUCUGUCUCUUAGUGCAGUCUCUUUUAUACAGGUGUCUUUACAUGUCUGUCUCUUAGUUACAUGUCUGUCUCUUUUACACAUGUGUCUUUACGUGUCUGUCUCUUAGUGCAGUCUCUUUUAUACAGGUGUCUUUACAUGUCUGUCUCUUAGUUACAUGUCUGUCUCUUAGUUACAUGUCUGUCUCUUAGUUACAUGUCUGUCUCUUUUACACAGGUGUCUUUACAUGUCUGUCUCUUUUACACAGGUGUCUUUAAUGUCUGUCUCUUAGUUAGUGCAGUCUCUUUUACACAGGUGUCUUCACAUGUCUGUCUCAUUCUGUCUGCAUUAGAUUCACACAACUAAAUCCAAUGGGGGUGACGUAUUCAUUUACCAUCAAGCAGAACUGCAUUUCACAUGGCAUC
ensembl:lncRNA